AUAUCUUUGACUAUUGGAUAAUUUAUUUUGGAUUGUGUGUUUUAAUUUAAUAUAUGUUGAAAUUCUAAAUUGUUAGUUAUUUAUUUAUUUGCAACCAUACUAACUUGUUUUUUUGUAUCUUUGACCUUGAAUGCUUCAACUUUGAAAAUUUGAACAUAAAAACAAUAGACAAUUUUUUUGACAUUAGCAAUCUUUUAAUUUUCAUGUUUUGUCAACAUCUCACAACUUCUCAUUAUAAAUAGGCCCUUCCACCUCUACAUUUUCAUUUAACUUAUUAUUCUCUAAGUUGAAGGUUUUGAGUUGUUUUUUCUUUUCAAGAACAUUCAUGGAAGCUAACCUCCCAAUUCAAGAGAGGUCCACGUGUUGGCAACAUUUUGAUAUGUUGUGGGUAGUAGAAAAUGAUGGGGUUGAACGAAGGCAAGCAAGGUGUAAGUAUUGUUUCGCUACACUUAAAGCCGAUCCAUCAAGACACGGUACAAGUAGUCUUAAUAAACAUUGUCGUACGUGUGCCAAAAAUCCGAAUAAUAUAGCUAGAGAUUGAAGAUGCGUUAACUCGACAAGAUGGUCAAGGAAUAAGUGUUGUUUUGUUCUUAAUUGUUUAAGAAUUUUGAUUUGAAUUGUUUUGAAUAUUAGACUUUGAUUUUGAAUUGUUCAAUAGGUACCAUGAACUUGGACCCAACCAUUGUCCCCUUCUUCGCUUGUGUUAUGUUCUUUUCAUUGUUAUUUUACCACAACAUGGAUAAAAAGAAACAUUCAUUAAAAUGAUUAUUAAAAAUGACGAAAGUCAUUGAUUAAAAUAAAAGUAAUAAAAAAAUAAUAAAGUGGAAUGUGGAUGUGCAUGCAUUGAUUAAAAUAUCAUUCAUUUAUACUUGUUUACACCCACAUGCACAAUUGCACAGUACCAAACAAGUAAAUUUGAUUCAAGUUCAAAAACAUUAAUCAACCAAAACAAACACUUACAAACCA